rnacentral:rRNA from 1 species
UGUGCCUACGGGAGGCAGCAGUGAGGAAUAUUGGUCAAUGGGCGGUAGCCUGAACCAGCCAAGUAGCGUGAAGGAUGAAGGUUGUAUGGAUUGUAAACUUCUUUUAUAAAGGAAUAAAGUGAGGCACGUGUGCCUUUUUGUAUGUACUUUAUGAAUAAGGAUCGGCUAAAUCCGUGCCAGCAGCCGCGGUAAUACGGAGGGUCCGCGCGUUAUCCGGAUUUAUUGGGUUUAAAGGGAGCGUAGAUGGGUUGUUAAGUCAG